UUUCAUUAAGAAAAUCUUCCUGAACCUCCCCUGGUGCCGCUCCAGGCCGUUUCCUCUCUGUUGACCUUCACCUGUCAUGGAGCGCAUGCUCACCCCCAAAAUUCCUCUUCCAGACUUGCAGGGCUGGAUGAGAGGGAGAAAAAAAUAUGGAACGCUUCACGAAUUUGCGUGUCAUCCUUGCGCAGGGGCCAUGCUAAUCUUCUCUGUAUCGUUCCAAUUUUAGUAUAUGUGCUGCCGAAGCGAGCACGAACGGGACACCCUACCCGCCGGUAUUUGUACCCCCAGGAUUCGGGCUCCGCAAGGUCAGGGUGACCCCUUUGGACAAACUGGCAGUGCCGGUGGAAGAGGCAGCAUCCGUGCACGACACCCCGACUGUACUGAGGGUCUGGCGGGCAGGAGACGGCGGAGAAGAGGGGAACAGACCCCAAAUCCGGCCUAAUCGGCGUUAUGCAAAUAGCUCUGCCGUAUGCAAAUACGCGCAAAGCACUCUGGGGCGGGGCGGUUCCGGGGCUCCUCACGGUGCCGUUCUGUAUCAAUAACCCUCGGUGGGCUUCGGAGCCACGUUUUGCUGCGGCAGCUGGGAAUGUGACACUUUCUGCGGUGGCAUAUCGGUGGUUUGGACCUUAACUAGUUCAUAUUGCUGACCUGUAGCGAUAGCGGGUGGCUGAAGCCAUUCUCGUUUCGCAGAAUCACAGAAUCGUUCGGGUUGGAAGGUCCGUCUGGAGAUCAGAGCCCCCUGCCAAGGCAGGGUCACCCGGAGCAGGUGACACAGGAACGCGUCCAGGGACAGCGGGGACGGCGCUGAAGCUGCAGCCCAGCCCAGGGGGUGUCCCCGACCUCAGCUGGCACUCUUCCCCUUUUUCUUCACUGCAACGAAACUGACGAAAUAUUUAAUAUAAUUCCUGCUACUUUUUAAUUAGAUGUUUAGUUGUAUUUUACUGCUGUUUUACAUUAAGUACUUUUGCGGGGAGGCAUUUACACUGUGGGAAAUUUCAUCAGGCAGAUGUGCAGAAUUUGGAUGUUAUUUUUCAGAUACACCCAGCUACUCACUUGGAAAAUAAGGGCAGAAACACAGUGUUUUGGGAUAAACUGCAUAAUUUAAACAGAUAUUCCCUCUGCUUCGCUGACACAAACCCUCAGUAGCUAUCUUUGAUUUCCAGAGCAGCUAAUGACAUCUCACACCUUGGCUCCCCUCCUCCAAACCUGUCCUACGGGUCACUUGUUUACACAGCAACAGGAACAAGCCUGCUCUGAUCAACAGCUCCUCCUCUGGCCAGGUAACCCUUGAAAAAACCACAGAACACCUUCAAAUCGAGUUAUUAUUUAGUAGAAAUCCAGGUCCCAACUGCUCAAAAGAACAUAUGGAAAUGUUUGCUCAAUUCAUUAAAUUUUCACACAACCUAGUGAUGAAAAAAAUCCCUUGUCUGUGUCAAAGCUGAUUUUCAUCCCUGUUGGAUCAGGUCACACACAAAGAUCUUUUCCUGUGCAGCAGUGUUCUAAGUUUCUCUGUCCAGUAACCUCAGCACAACCAGCUUCACACACCCCAGCACAAGAGCUUUAAAGCCACAGGGCUUGUCUGCCUUGCAAGGAAUAGUGUAUUAACUUACAGUUCUAGAGAGCAAAUUACCAUUCCUACAGCAAUCUGGCAACCCCCUCCUUCAUUUAGCAGAGUUUGAGGCGCAGCUGUAAUCCAAAGUCCAUAAAGUGCUGACACAGUAUUGGUGGCCCCAGGCAAACCCCCUGGGUGGAACCAGGUGCACUAAAGGGUUAAACUUUGACAUCAUGGAACGACACGGAACCAGUGCAGAAUUGAGUACUGAGAUUUAUUCACAAUUCAAGGCCAUGCUGCACUGGAAAACAAAGCACCAAAAUCUGGGUACCUGAACAUCAUCCAGGUAUGAUCCUGCAUUUGGAAAUCGGCAUUCCUCAGGGGCAGCACAGGUGCUGUGGCUGGGGGAACCCUCCUGCAGCAGGCAGAGGGACUCACAGCAGGCUGGAGAGCUUCAGGGCAAAGCACACAACCCCAAGAGUCCAGCACCUGACAUGCUCCAGUCACAACAUCCCAAGAGAAUUUUAUGAAUUCAUUCACUGUGUCCAGUUCCUUUCCCACAAUCCCUCCAGUCUGUAAUUUUCUAAAAAUCCUUUUAUCUCAGCACAAAAUUCAAGGGGGAGGUAAAGCACUGUGGCUGUGGCCACGUCAGGAGCUUUUCCUGUUGCUGAAGAGGCAGUAGCAAUAGAAAUUACUAUGGAAUCAGGGAAUCCAAUCAGGGAAUUUAAUAUGCUGUAAUUUCAGAAGUGUGGCUACAAACACAUAUUGUUAACAUUAAUGGACUUUCCAACUGCAGAUUCAAAAGCCAGAAUCAAACCUUAGGCAAGUAUUUCACUAUGUAUGAAGCUACAAGGUUUUCUGAUAUAUGUUAAAAUUUCAGUGAAAGCAGGUGAAGGGGGAAAGAUGAAAAGGAAAGUUCUAUCCUGUAAAACUGGCACUUUAAAGAAAAGGCCUUUAAAAAACUACAAUAUUUAACUCCAAAAGUCUUAAAAAACAAAAGCUGACACAAAAAAAAAAAAAAAACCAAACCCAAAAAGACAACUCUCAGUUACUCAGGUGACUAAUUAUAAUACAUUCUGUGCAGCCACUUGCCAUGGUUUUGCAUAGGAGACAUUCAGGGAAGUGAUGGAAAGGUUUGUUAUGCAAAACCAUAACACCACUACAAGCUCAGUAAGAUGCCUUCCUUGCCUUUAAAAAGGAAUUCUGCAGCAGACAAAUCAUCAACAGCUCUGCACUGUGACUACCUCAAUAGGUUAAAAGCCUUGAGCAGAUGGAAGAAAUGGUGGAUCCAGCUGAAACAGGAUGUUUUGGACACUGAGCCAGUGGGAGCAGAGCAGACUGAUUUCACCCACUGCCCUGCCCAUUCCUGGGCUCCCCCAGCAGCACAGGCAGUGAGGCAAGCACUGGCCAAAGUGCCACCCAGCCCUGGGAGCAUCCACCACCCUGCACACACAGUUCUGGGCUCUGCUUGCAGAACAGCAAGGCAGCUCCUGCGUAGUUUACUGAAGAUUUCCUCAGAAAAGCAAACUGGUCUUGUACCAUUUCACACAUAAAAAAAUAAGCACACUGUACAAAGAGCAGCAGAGAUAUAAUUUAAACAUGCAUCCAGCUACAAACCAUAUAUACAGAGAAGCAGGCCUAUACAAACAGAACAGGACCACUUUGUUACAUUACAAUUCUGGUGGAGUUCUUGGAGGAAAUCACAGAUGAACAAAA